rnacentral:tRNA from 1 species
GGGAUGUGGCUCAGUGGUAGAGAGCUUGCCUAUAAUGCAUAAGACCCUGGGUUUGAUCCCCAGCUCUUG